GAUGAACGCUGGCGGCGUGCCUAAUACAUGCAAGUCGAACGCAUUAAGAGAAGUGCUUGCACUUUUCAAUCUGAGUGGCGAACGGGUGAGUAACACGUGGGCAACCUACCUGAUAGCGGGGGAUAACGAGUGGAAACAUUCGCUAAUACCGCAUAACAAUAGAGAAGGCAUCUUCUUUAUUUAUAAGGCGCUUUAAAGCGUCACUAUCAGAUGGGCCCGCGGUGCAUUAGUUAGUUGGUGGGGUGAAGGCCUACCAAGACGAUGAUGCAUAGCCGAGUUGAGAGACUGAUCGGCCACAUUGGGACUGAGACACGGCCCAAACUCCUACGGGAGGCUGCAGUAGGGAAUCUUCCACAAUGGACGAAAGUCUGAUGGAGCAACGCCGCGUGUGUGAUGAAGGCUUUCGGGUCGUAAAGCACUGUUGUAUGGGAAGAAAUGCUAGGCUAGGAAAUGAGCUUAGUUUGACGGUACCAUACCAGAAAGGGACGGCUAAAUACGUGCCAGCCGCCGCGGUAA
rnacentral:rRNA from 1 species